UAGGCAUCUGCUCCUCGUUACCACCCCGCUUCCCAUUUGCAGCAUCUCUGCCCCCUGCCCACACACACCUCCGGCAGUGAGAGCUCACCCCUAAAAACCAGGCUGCCCCCAGCUUCCCCCUGGUCAUCUCCUCUGGGGCAGGGAGCUGCGGCCUUGUUCUGCUUUGGGGCUGGGGCAGGAGGCUGCUCUCCAGGAAUGGGGGGCUGUAGCUCCAGGAGGUCCCCUGGGGCUGUCAGAUGUGAUGGCCAAGAUGCAAACUGCGGCUGAAAAGUCCUGAUCCAGUGGCUGGGCUGUGUCAGGGAGAACCACAUCAGCUGUGCCCAGGUGGUAUGGUCAAGACUGAAGUGACACAGUCACCCCGCUUGUUUCCACAUCGCUUCUGCCUUCUUUGGCCCUUCUGGCUCUGCUGUGCUGAAUCUCGCCUGUUCAAAUUUCCAGUGAACCUUCUCGCAUUCUCCUCUGGUUCUCAUCCUGCAGUUAUAACCUCGGUAUUGGGAGCAAGCCUGGAAAAUUUCAGAAUGAAAACCGAAACCUUCCAAAAGUUUUUCAACAUCCUUCUUGAAAUGUUGGCUGGACAAAUUAUUUCCAAAGCCGUCACAACAGAGUCAAAACCAGAGGUAAAAGAACCUCCUGGCUUGUUUGUUUCCCAGGGCAGCACCAGCCCUUUGGUCACAGCACUGCAGAAGGAGCUCACGUUCAGCUGAUUAUUCAUCUUAAUGAAGUCUUUACGGAAUUGCAGCUUUGCAGGAUAGAGUUACAUCCUUUCAGUGUGACCUACAUUCUUUGUUCCUAGAUGUGAAACUUCACAUUUGGCUUGAUUGAAAUACAUAUAAUUUGAUUAUGCCUAAACUUAACAUAAGGUUGUGCAGCCAUAAGCAUCCUUUGGCUCUUCCCUGAGGCUUUGUGCCUCCUACAAAACUUUGCUAAUAGUGAUUUCAGGAUUAUUUUUUUCCAGGUCACGAAUAUCAAAUAAUGUAGGGUCCAUAAGCUUUCUCUGAAAUCCCACUGGAGAAAGAUCAACUUGAUAAUAAAUCUCUCUUUACAAUAACAAUUUAAGACAGAGAAGUCAUUCAGCUUUUAAUAAAUUUAAUGUAUCAGACAUUGCCAAAGUUUAUUACAAAAGAGCUAAUUAUAAAUACAUGUUUAAGCUUAUGUCAUCUAAAAGAUAUUGAAUUAGUUUGUUAUAAAAGUGCAUUCACACCAACUUUCCAUAAUCUUUUGUUAAGCAACAUUUGUUACGUUACCUCCCUUUCAGUUGGCUACUGAAAUCCUGUGCUGAAAGAUGUGCUGUUAUCUUACCUGAGGUUUAUAUUAGGCUGGGAAGUUUGUAAUU